UUUUUAAAUUGAGAGUUUGAUCCUGGCUCAGGAUGAACGCUGGUGGCGUGCCUAAUACAUGCAAGUCGUACGCUAGCCGCUGAAUUGAUCCUUCGGGUGAAGUGAGGCAAUGACUAGAGUGGCGAACUGGUGAGUAACACGUAAGAAACCUGCCCUUUAGUGGGGGAUAACAUUUGGAAACAGAUGCUAAU
rnacentral:rRNA from 1 species